rnacentral:rRNA from 1 species
UACGUAGGGUGCGAGCGUUGCCCGGAUUUAUUGGGCGUAAAGGGCGCGUAGGCGGUCACGCACGUCCGUUGUGAAAUCGCUCGGCUCAACUGGGCGGGGUCAGCGGAUACGGCGUGGCUGGAGGCAAGCUAGGGGGCAAUGGAAUUCCCGGUGUAGUGGUGGAAUGCGUAGAUAUCGGGAGGAACACCAGUGGCGAAGGCGACUUCCUGGCCUGUUCUUGACGCUGAGGCGCGAAAGCUAGGGGAGCAACGGGG